rnacentral:lncRNA from 1 species
UGAGACUAGGUGAUUUGGGGGCGGGGCGGAGGAAGCAAGCCUAGAAGGCCUAGUGGAUUUCCCAACAACAAGGCCAAAACUGCCCUGAAACUGCCCUGGUUGCGAAAUGCCCAAUUAUUGCGUUCUCAAACAGAAUUGUUUGCAACUUAACGGCGAAUUUAAACCGAUACAGGUAAAAUCAACUCAUUUAUAGUAUAAACUUACUAUUUUUAUUUGUAUACACGUCUAGAAAAUCGGUUUUUUUAUCAUAAAGUUCGAAGCAACACUGUUAUUUAAUAUGUUGACAAGGUGUAGCGAAAGCACAAAAUGAGUCAAAAUAUAUACCAAAAGUAGAAUCUUUCAUGAAAUUUUGUCUUAUACACAACUACAUUAAUAUAUA